rnacentral:rRNA from 1 species
UACCAGACUCCUACGGGAGGCAGCAGUGGGGAAUAUUGCACAAUGGGGGAAACCCUGAUGCAGCGACGCCGCGUGAGCGAUGAAGUAUUUCGGUAUGUAAAGCUCUAUCAGCAGGGAAGAAGAUGACGGUACCUGACUAAGAAGCCCCGGCUAACUACGUGCCAGCAGCCGCGGUAAUACGUAGGGGGCAAGCGUUAUCCGGAUUUACUGGGUGUAAAGGGAGCGUAGACGGCGGCGCAAGCCAGAUGUGAAAGCCCGGGGCUCAACUCCGGGACUGCAUUUGGAACUGUGUGGCUGGAGUGUCGGAGAGGCAGGCGGAAUUCCUAGUGUAGCGGUGAAAUGCGUAGAUAUUAGGAGGAACACCAGUGGCGAAGGCGGCCUGCUGGACGAUGACUGACGUUGAGGCUCGAAAGCGUGGGGAGCAAACAGGAUUAGAUACCCUGGUACUU